GGAUGUUUGCCAGUCAGGUUCCUGGCUGGAGUCCAGCUCACAACUGGCUCCAGGCUCUGGCCAGGGGCUUCACUACAAAGCUCAG
ensembl:miRNA